UUGAAAUUUCCAAAAAUGAAAAAUAAGAAGAUGAGACAGAGGCCCUCCCUCCCAUUCCAACUCCCAUAACCAAGAUUCUUUCAACUUUUUCACCUCUCAUCUCCAUUCUCCACCACCUAUAAAUAGGCAGCUCCUCCACAAACAAAUGAAAAUAUAGCAAACCAGACUUCAUACAUACAAACUCCAUAUCUACUCUGUUUCCUCUUCAACCUCACCAAACAUGUCUGACAAGUGCGGAAGCUGCGACUGCUCUGACAAAUCCCAGUGCACGAAGCAGGGGUACACAGCCGACAUCAUUGAGACCGAGAAGAGGUAUG